rnacentral:rRNA from 1 species
GAUGAACGCUGGCGGCGUGCUUAACACAUGCAAGUCGAACGAAGCACUUUAACCUGAUUCUUCGGAUGAAGGUUUUUGUGACUGAGUGGCGGACGGGUGAGUAACGCGUGGGUAACCUGCCUCAUACAGGGGGAUAACAGUUAGAAAUGACUGCUAAUACCGCAUAAGACCACAGAGCCGCAUGGCUCGGUGGGCAAAACUCCGGUGGUAUGAGAUGGAAGCGCGUCUGAUUAGGUAGUUGGUGGGGUAACGGCCUACCCAGGCAACGACCAGUAGCCGAGAUGAGAGCGUGACCCGCAACAUUUGAGCUGAGCCACGGCCCACAAUCCUACGGAAGGCGGGAGUGGGUAAUAUUGCACAAUCGGGGAAAACAUGAUGGAGCGACGACGCGUGAGCUCAGAAGUAUUGCGGUAUGUAAAGCUCUAUCAGCAGGGAAGAAAAUGACGGUACCUGACUAAGAAGCACCGGCUAAAUACGUG